rnacentral:pre_miRNA from 1 species
UUCUGGAAGCUGGUUUCACAUGGCGGCUUAGAUUUUUUCAUCUUUGUAUCUAGCACCAUUUGAAAUCAAUGUUUUAGGAG